rnacentral:lncRNA from 1 species
GACCCUUGUUCAAGAACACCAGUGUGGGUCCCCUGUACUCUGGCUGCAGACUGACUUUGCUCAGGUCUGAGAAGGAUGGGUCAGCCACCAGGGUGGACGCUGUCUGCACCUACCAUCCUGACCCCGUGGGCCCCAAGCUGGACAGAGAG